UUAGGUACAAGAUCAAGAUGUCUAUCUCUAUAUUCCUUUCCUCCGUUUCUGUUGCUGAAUUUCUCCAGUUAUGACUUGUGUCCUAAUCUUGCUGAUGGCGGGUCAAAUUUGUCGUGAGAAAGGGAAGCCUCUAUGAGGCAGCACAUUGUUGUAGACAAGCUUUAGCAGUCGUUGUCUGGUGGGGCAUUUGCAUUGUACUCUCUGAUAUGUAAACAAGCAUGUAAAGCUCUGUUUUCUCCAAACCAAUUGUCAUCUGAUGCUCAAGUUCAACUGAAGGUGCCACCUCCACAGCUUGGGAUGUCAAUAACGAUUAAAGAAUGGAAGUAUAUAUGCAUCAUUGUCACUGAAAAGGAUGUUCUCGUGUUUCUUCUUGUUGGUACUUCUAUGUUUUGACAUAAGUGUCCGCUGUCUUUUGAUGUCAUUGUUGAAUUUCUCCAAGAUAGUAAGGGUUCAGGUAGUUUGUCAUAUAGGAUUUUAAUGCUGUUACUAUGUUCUAAUUUCUCUUUGUUUUUGACUUUUUUUUAUGGAACAGACAAUUGCUGUACAGAUUACCACAAUUAUGUUGUGCCUAUAAAAUAUUUCUUUCCUCCAAAAUUUCGCACAUUUGAUGUAGGUUUGCAGAGUUCAAGCUGGACUUUGGCAAGUUCUUGUAUGAAAACCUGUAUUAUAGCAUUUUUUUCCUUGUACACAUGUGAAAAUCUAAUUGUAAAGGAAAAGGAAGAAAUUGAAGAAACUUGACAAAGUGACUUAAAGUAGAAGAGACCAUAUUUUCCAUAUAGGAUGUAUGCACUAGUAGAAGCAAAUUCAUGUUCUUUCUUAGAAAUGAUAUGUGCCUCAUAGGGAGAGUUACUUAUGCAAGUUUUUUGUCCAUGCAGUUGUUUGCCACAACAUCUCUUUUCUUAGCUGCAAAGUCAGAGGGUCUCCUCAUCUCCUAAACACUAUUCUGAAGGCUGCUUUUGAAAAUUGCCAUAAGACAACUUUUCAUUUUCCUCCUAUUUUCUUUUUGCUGUGAGCAUCUGUCGCUUUGGCCUGUUGAAACGAUGCUGCAACAGAAGAUGCCAAAUAUUAUGAGCUGUUUGGCCGUCAUCUUGAUCAAAAGAGAAACAAAUUAUGAAUCACAAAUGUCAUCUUGAUCAAAAGGGAAACAAAUUAUGAAGCACAAGUGUGGAGCAAAUUGCUGGCAAACUGAUGAUAUAGACUUGCUGUCACUUUUUUUGUUAUAUUCUCAAGUCUUUUGAGAUUUUUCUUAUUUUAUUUAUUCUUUGACAAAAGUAAAUAAUAUUUGUUUCUAAGCCCAACUGAUUGAGUCGUUGAAUCAGCCAAUUCACCAAAUGGGCACCCUAACCAGUUUGAUUCACAGUGAGGUUUUUAUAACACUGAUUAAGACUGUUGUUGACAGGAAAUACAUUGGUAUACAUACCAAAACUGGUUUGGAGCACGAGGAGCAAGUCAUUGAUGCUGUUACACUGACAGACUGGACUUUGUGUGUGGUAUUCAGCCUGUAUGUGUUCCACUUACCUCAGUUCUUAAUAAGCUGUGGAUUGGACAAAUGUUCUUGUGAAUUUGGCUUGGAAAAUGGGAAACUUAUUAAUCCCAUUAGGCUAUGUUCUCCUGUCUUGUUUUUCUUUGCAUGACUAUGACUAGGAUUAAAAGUCUUCUUUAUAGCCAUGUAUUUUUGUAAUCUACUUUCAUAGCAAUAGUGUCUUGUUUAUUGAGUGUAAUAAUGGUAAAUUUGUCUGUUGGUGCAAGGUUGUAGAUUCAAUCUAAGAUGAUAAGUUUUAAGUACUUUCUUUACAGUUAUGUAAUUUAUAUGUGCAGUUGCUUUUCUACUAACUAGAUGUGCACGUAUAGAUCUUGUUCAUGCUGCUAGUGUUCAAAAUUCAUGGACUACACAAUUGAUGACAUGCCCAUUGGUAAGCAUUUGUUUUUCAUGAAAAUCAGUUUUUUAAAUUCUACCCAUCUUGUUACAUGUUAAAAAUAAUGCAUAAUUUUUUGCAUGAUCAGGGGUAUAAACAUUGGUCUUCAUCUUGUUCGAUCUUCUUGUUCUUAAAUUUUAUUUUGCUUAUCGGCAUUGGGUCUGCAUUCCGCGGUUCUGGUUGAUAUUUUAAUGGGUUGGAUAUGCUCUGAUUUGGAUCCAUAUCUAAUAUGAAAGUUUAUGGUUGGACGAAAUUAUCUUUUUGAGGAAACUGGAAACGCUUUUGCUCGCAUAUGUCAUCAUCCAUCGGUAGACAGCGGCAGCAGAUCACCACCAGUAGGCGUAGGCGGAGACAACUGAGGUCUAGGCAACUAGAAGACAGGUGUUGGGACGAGAAUGGCUGCCCGCAUUUUCCACCACCUAAGCCAAAUGCUCUUAGAGCUCAAGUUGCAAUACCAGAGAUAGAGGCACCUACUGAUCCCACUAAUGAUUCAGUCAUUCUGAGCAGGGCUGAAAUGAUGAAUUACAAUCUCUUCACCUAUCCAGCACCAAUUUUCCCAUGGUUGGUGUUGCUUGUCGGUAGCAUGGAUGAUGGUUUAACUCAUUAAAGUAGUAUGUGGUUUAUUGAUUCAGGAGCAUCCAGAUAUUUAUGUGGAAAUUGAAAUUCAUCUUCCAAAGAAAGAAAGUGGAGGGAAAAUGAUGUUCAGAAAUACGUAUUAGGUGACAACCAGAGCUGGACCAACAGACAGAGAUUCUUCAAUAUCAUAAACUUGAGGGCACCAGGCUUACCAAGAACUCACUCAAGAAAAGCCUCAAAUUAGAGGUGCAUAAACAUGCAUUGCUGAAACUUUAAACAGUACAGAAUAACAGGCCUUAUAGCCGUAAGCAAGGAACUCAAGUCCCUCAUUUAUAGAAGAAAAGAAAACAAGAAGGAUAAAGGAGCUGGCUGUUGGGCCAGCUCCAAAGCAAGAACAAUGAAGAAUCCAACAGAAACAUUAUUUCCUUUGAUUACCAAGAACUUGGACAGAUAAAACCAAGGUGCCCAAAGCUGAAAAGGUUUGAAAAAACAGCAACUGCAGCUAAAGUUGUGAUGCAAUUGGAUCUAUUAGAGGUUUUUUGCUGGCUCAACUAACCAAAGCUCUACAACCAUAUUUAAAAGAAGCUACUCUAACAAUAGGAGGAGUUGCCUCUAGACUAACUUGCCAAUUGAUAAGGUGCUUUUUCCCUUACAAUAUUUUUGGUUCACCCUCUUCUUCUUUACAUUUCAAUCUGUGUCAAACAUAUAAACUUUUUAUAUUAGAUAGUUUAGUUAUGUGCAGUUUUAAAUUGGUUAGCUCUGGCCAGUUCGGCUAACUGAGCCGAAUGUGCUAUGUCAGAGAAGCACCCGCACCAGCGCAAAUGUCUACAUGGAUGUGACAGGAGUGCGGCAGCCAUUUAGGAGCACCCAUGUGAUACAGAUUUCAAUAUUGACUUACUAUGGUGUCAAUAACAUUUUCAGGGAUUGAAAAUCUUUUAGCAACAGUCAAUCCUCUUUCUUUUUCUAGACUAUAUGCCCUUUUAAAUAUCUAAGCAUAAUAAUUUUAAAUCCACAAAAGCCCAACAACCUACAGGCAGUUAUGAAGCGAUAUGAACAAAUAAAAAAAUAGUAUAAUACAAGUUAACAAUGUUGACAUGGCAGUCAUAUGGAAAACACUUGAAUAUCCUAUUAUAUCAGCUUUUUAAGCUACAAUAAUGACACAAUUUUCAACAAUCAAAAUGAUGGUUGAUGAACAGCUAUUAGAGCAUAAGUUAGAAGAACACAAAGUCUGGUGCAUUAAGUUCUUCGAAAGCACAAAAUUGGAAACAUAGAUAUGAUAAUAAUAAUAUCAAAACUAGCUCUGAGAUAUUAAAAAAAAAAAAAGAA